rnacentral:rRNA from 1 species
UCAAAUUUCUUCCCUAUCAACUUUCGAUGCGAAGGUAUUGUCUUCGCAUGGUUGCAACGGGUAACGGAGGGUUAGGGCUCGACCCCGGAGAAGGAGCCUGAGAAACGGCUACUACAUCCAAGGAAGGCAGCAGGCGCGCAAAUUACCCAAUCCCGACACGGGGAGGUAGUGACAAUAAAUACUGAUACAGGGCUCUUUUGGGUCUUGUAAUCGGAAUGAGUACAAUUUAAAUCCCUUAACGAGGAACAAUUGGAGGGCAAGUCUGGUGCCAGCAGCCGCGGUAAUUCCAGCUCCCAUAGCGUAUAUGACGGUUGUUGAGGUUAAAAAGCUCGUAGUUGAACUUUUGCCCUGUCUGGCCGGUCCCCGUCACCGGGAGCACUGAUUCAGCCCGGCCUUUCCCUGUGUGGUCCCACAUGGUCGUGA